rnacentral:tRNA from 1 species
GCUCCCUUGGAGUAGCGGUUAACUCAUCUGACUCUCAAUCAGAAGAUCGCGGGUUCGAACCCCGCAGGGAGUA